rnacentral:rRNA from 1 species
AACGAACGCUGGCGGCAUGCCUAACACAUGUAAGUCGAACGAAGUCUUCGGACUUAGUGGCGCACGGGUGCGUAACGCGUGGGAAUCUGCCCUUGGGUGCGGAAUAACUUCUCGAAAGGGAUGCUAGUACCGCAUAAUGUCGUAAGACCAAAGAUUUAUCGCCCAAGGAUGAGCCCGCGUAAGAUUAGCUAGUUGGUGGGGUAAAAGCCUACCAAGGCGACGAUCUUUAGCUGGUCUGAGAGGAUGAUCAGCCACACUGGGACUGAGACACGGCCCAGACUCCUACGGGAGGCAGCAGUGGGGAAUAUUGGACAAUGGGCGAAAGCCUGAUCCAGCAAUGCCGCGUGAGUGAUGAAGGCCCUAGGGUUGUAAAGCUCUUUACCAGGGAUGAUAAUGACAGUACCUGGAGAAUAAGCUCCGGCUAACUCCGUGCCAGCAGCCGCGGUAAU